AUUCUUGGUCAUUUUAGAGGAAGUAAAAGUCGUAACAAGGUUUCCGUAGGUGAACCUGCGGAAGGAUCAUUAACGAGUUAGGGUCUCCCAGGCCCGACCUCCCCACCCUGUGUUUACUGGACCGUGUACAAGUCUCCUGAGCCCGUCCUCACGGACCGCCGGAGGGAUCUUUACUGGCCCUCUGGUCCGCGCUCGUCGGUAGCCCAACCUUUAAAAUCUUUAACUAAACGUGCCUUAAUCUAAGUACAAUUAUUAAAUAAAAGCAAAACUUUCAACAACGGAUCUCUUGGUUCUGGCAUCGAUGAAGAACGCAGCGAAAUGCGAUAAGUAAUGCGAAUUGCAGAAUUCCAGUGAGUCAUCGAAUCUUUGAACGCACAUUGCGCCCUUUGGUAUUCCGAAGGGCAUGCCUGUUCGAGCGUCAUUAUCACCCCUCAAGCCCUCGGCUUGGUGUUGGACGGUUUGGUGGAGGCCCCCUCGGGGGCUCCUGCCCCUCCCAAAGACAAUGACGGCGGCCUCGUUGGACCCCCGGUACACUGAGUUCUUCACGGGACACGUAUCGGACACAUGGGUUUACGGGACACGGUCUGCCUCCCCUCAGGGAGAAUCUUUCUAAGGUUGACCUCGGAUCAGGUAGGGAUACCCGCUGAACUUAAGCAUAUCAAUAAGCGGAGGA
rnacentral:sRNA from 1 species